rnacentral:rRNA from 1 species
CCUACGGGUGGCAGCAGUGAGGAAUAUUGGUCAAUGGGCGCGAGCCUGAACCAGCCAAGUAGCGUGAAGGAUGACUGCCCUACGGGUUGUAAACUUCUUUUAUAAAGGAAUAAAGUGAGGCACGUGUGCCUUGUUGUAUGUACUUUAUGAAUAAGGAUAGGCUAACUCCGUGCCAGCAGCCGCGGUAAUACGGAGGAUCCGAGCUUUAUCCGGAUUUAUUGGGGUGAAAGGGAGCGUAGAUGGGUUGUUUAGUCAGUGGUGAACGUUUGCGGCUCACCCGUAAAAUUGCCAUUGAUACUGGCAGUCUUGAGUACAGUUGAGGUAGGCGGCAUUCGUGGUGUAGCGGUGAAAUGCUUCGAUAUCACG